AGAGCGAACGCUGGCGGCAGGCCUAACACAUGCAAGUCGAGCGCCCGUAGCAAUACGGGAGCGGCAGACGGGAUAGUAACACGUGGGAACGCGCCCUUCGGUUCGGAAUAACUCAGGGAAACUUGAGCUAAUACCGGAUACGCCCUUACGGGGAAAGAUUUAUUGCCGAAGGAACGGCCCGCGUCCGAUUAGCUAGUUGGCGAGGUAAUGGCUCACCAAGGCGACGAUCGGUAGCUGGUCUGAGAGGAUGACCAGCAUCACUGGGACUGAGACACGGCCCAGACUCCUACGGGAGGCAGCAGUGGGGAAUAUUGGACAAUGGGCGCAAGCCUGAUCCAGCCAUGCCGCGUGGAUGAUGAAGGCCUUAGGGUUGUAAAGUCCUUUUAACGGGGAGAUAAUGACGGUACCGUAGAAUAAGCCCCGGCUAACUUCGUGCCAGCAGCCGC
rnacentral:rRNA from 1 species